GAUGGCGUGAUGAGGUCAUGAAAAGCAAUUGGUUUACACAACAUUGCAAGUUAUCGUCGUUCUCUUGACCAUGCUAUGUAGCAAACGCUCAUGAUCCUGUGUAUGACAAGAUUGACUGCGGAACUUUUUGUUUUACAGCAAGCUGAAGUAUACAUAAUCUAAUCCAACACUAUGAGCCUGUUGGAAUAUAUAGGUUUCAGUUAACAUUUCAUGACCCAUUAAAAACUAGCAAACUGAAGUCAAACUAUAUAAAUA
rnacentral:misc_RNA from 1 species